GACGAACGCUGGCGGCGUGCCUAAUACAUGCAAGUUGAGCGCUGAAGGUUGGUACUUGUACCGACUGGAUGAGCAGCGAACGGGUGAGUAACGCGUGGGGAAUCUGCCUUUGAGCGGGGGACAACAUUUGGAAACGAAUGCUAAUACCGCAUAAAAACUUUAAACACAAGUUUUAAGUUUGAAAGAUGCAAUUGCAUCACUCAAAGAUGAUCCCGCGUUGUAUUAGCUAGUUGGUGAGGUAAAGGCUCACCAAGGCGAUGAUACAUAGCCGACCUGGGAGGGUGAUCGGCCACAUUGGGACUGAGACACGGCCCAAACUCCUACGGGAGGCAGCAGUAGGGAAUCUUCGGCAAUGGACGAAAGUCUGACCGAGCAACGCCGCGUGAGUGAAGAAGGUUUUCGGAUCGUAAAACUCUGUUGGUAGAGAAGAACGUUGGUGAGAGUGGAAAGCUCAUCAAGUGACGGUAACUACCCAGAAAGGGACGGCUAACUACGUG
rnacentral:rRNA from 1 species